rnacentral:antisense_RNA from 1 species
AAAGAAGAGGCUGUGCUCCGGCGCUCCGGCUCCUCAGAGAGCCUCGGCUAGCUGGGAUUCUAUCCCUGACCCUCUUCACAGUCCAGGUGAUCUUGACUACUGCUUUACAGAGAAUUGGAUCUGAGAUGUGGAAACAGCAAGAGAACUAGAAUUGGAAGUAAAGCGUUGAAGAUGUGACUGAAUUGCUGCAAUCUCAUGAUCAAAUUUGAAUGGAUGAGGAGUUGCUUCUUAGGGAUAAGCUAAGAAAGUGGUUUCUUGAGAUGGAAUCUACUGGUUGCUCCUUGAGGGCAGGACAGUUCUUAUGGCUUUAUCUGUUGCUUAAGCACAGAGAGAGGUCUGUGAGGUCAAAACUGUUGUCAUGAUAGCAAGAUGCUUGUCUUUUUCAUUUAUUCUCACAGUGUGCAGAGGCUACAUGAUUUGUGAUGACAUCCUCAUUGUUGUUAAUGAAUGGUGCUAUACUUGAAUUUUCUAAGGUGUCGUUAGGUAGGUUUAGGUAUGCAUACUUGUUUUUAGAAAUUAUUUUUUCCCCUUUUCCCAUUUUUAGAAAUCAACUCAUUUUUUAGCCUUCAGUAAUCUUUGCAACCUCAAUAUUGUGCAAUUGUUAGUUUAAAAUACUGUAGUUUUCUUUGUGCCUAAGUAUAAACAUAAGUACAUUUUGUUGUUUUGUUUGCAAUAGUGG